rnacentral:rRNA from 1 species
UACGUAGGGUGCGAGCGUUGUCCGGAAUUAUUGGGCGUAAAGAGCUCGUAGGCGGUUCGUUGCGUCGGCCGUGAAAACCUGCAGCUUAACUGUGGGCCUGCGGUCGAUACGGGCAGACUUGAGUUCGGUAGGGGAGACUGGAAUUCCUGGUGUAGCGGUGAAAUGCGCAGAUAUCAGGAGGAACACCGGUGGCGAAGGCGGGUCUCUGGGCCGAUACUGACGCUGAGGAGCGAAAGCGUGGGGAGCGAACAGG